UUAACGAAAUUGCAACUUUUCAUAAUACUGUGUGACCGUGGUGUGGCUUCCAGUUUGAGGAAUGAAAACAUCUAUAUCUGGCAGAUGUGCUGCAAUAUUUAGUCACUAGAUGGCAGUGUCAGACCAUGCUUUGUGUUAUCUAUGCAUUAACAGACUGUGUUUACAGGGUGGCCAACUUUAGAGGAGAAUUAAACCUUUUACAGCAUUGCUCAAACUUUGGUUUUAGUCUCAAUCGCUAAGUUCUUCCUUCAUGACAACUCUGAGGGGGGUGUAUUUUAUUUUAACUCCCUCGUUUAAGCGAUAUAGAUGUUUGAAAUUCACGUGACGUCACAGUGUAAGCUGUGCUGUGUGUUGUGAGUUCGGCUUUAACCAGUUACAAGUGAACGCCUCAUGAAAUGGCUUACACCCACAUACCCGGUAAAUUACACACUUUGAUGUUCUGCUCCUUCUCCUGACGGUCACGGUAACGAUGUCUGCGCCUCCGUUUCUGUGGAUGUCCAGCGUGAGACACAACUUGAAUCCAACCAGACUGAACACUGACUCCAGGUACAGACCUGUUUUCAUUACUUACAAAGUAUUGCACAUAAUACAUAAUGUGUUAAAUUAUAAUGCAAUACUUUUAAUGUGAAAUAGCUCCAUACUAAACAUUCAUUGUCAUGGUAGUGCACGUUUUAAUCCAAAAGCAUAUUCAAAUACAUAGUUGAAUAUCCACCGAAAAUAAGAAUACACACUUUGUUCAUAUGUAACUCUAAUAAAUACUGUAUAAGUUAUAUUUUGCUCCGGAAU